rnacentral:rRNA from 1 species
UACGGAGGGGGUUAGCGUUGUUCGGAAUUACUGGGCGUAAAGCGCACGUAGGCGGAUCAGAAAGUUGGGGGUGAAAUCCCGGGGCUCAACCCCGGAACUGCCUCCAAAACUCCUGGUCUUGGUGUAGAGAGGUGAGUGGAAUUCCGAGUGUAGAGGUGAAAUUCGUAGAUAUUCGGAGGAACACCAGUGGCGAAGGCGGCUCACUGGCUCGAUACUGACGCUGAGGUGCGAAAGUGUGGGGAGCAAACAGGAUUAGCCGUACCGUC